UACGUAGGGUGCGAGCGUUAAUCGGAAUUACUGGGCGUAAAGCGUGCGCAGGCGGUUUUGUAAGACAGAUGUGAAAUCCCCGGGCUCAACCUGGGAACUGCAUUUGUGACUGCAUCGCUGGAGUGCGGCAGAGGGGGAUGGAAUUCCGCGUGUAGCAGUGAAAUGCGUAGAGAUGUGGAGGAACACCAGUGGCGAAGGCGACUCUCUGGUCUGUAACUGACGCUGAGGCGCGAAAGCGUGGGGAGCAAACAGG
rnacentral:rRNA from 1 species